rnacentral:lncRNA from 1 species
AUUGACCCUCAAAGUUUAUCAACCAAAAGUGGAGUCAGGAGAAAGUCACAGAGAAGAGAUGCUGAACCUAGAAAUGGGGCACCUAUUGUGCCUGCCUCGCAUGAUGGAGAAAUUGCUGGAAUCGACUGAAUACCAGUGACAAUGGGAGGGGAAAUGUCGGGGAGAUGUGGACCCUGGGGAGUCCCCACAGACUAUCUGGCAAUAUCUGUGGCCUGCUAACUGCUGGCUUCAAGGACAUUUAUCAGUGAGCAGGAGGACCCCUGAAUUAGAGAGAUGCUUAGGUGUGGCACUGGUGUUGUGGGAGGAAGUGCCGAGAAGCCCAUUGACACGGUGCUGCCCCAGGACUUCAGAGACUCUUCAAUCCAUCCUCCAUGCUGCCUCCAGCCCCAUGACCUCAGCAAUGUAUCACUGCUGUGCUCCCUUUCCCAAGACCCCCAAGCAGCCAGAUGUAGCCUGAUUCAUUACAUGUAUGCAUACAGGUGUCAAUCUAAAAUAGUCAAAAGGGCCAGAAUCUAGUUUAAGGAGAGUUUAUUCAAGUGCAAGGUUUAAGUCCAGCCAUCCAGGAAGCACAGAUUCCAAAGAAUGGAAGUCAGUGUUCUGAAGUAUAGAAGUUUGGGACCAUGUAUAUAGAUAAAGUUUAUGGAAGCUUACCAGAAUUUCAACAUCUUUAGGCUUUAAUGCAUAGUUACAAUGGUCUGAUUAGUCGAGGUGGUCUUUUUCUUUCAAGAAAGGUGUAUUUGGCCAGGCAUAGUGGCUCAUGCCUGUAAUCCUAGCACUUUGGGAGGCCA